rnacentral:lncRNA from 1 species
GACAACUGCUCCGGGAAAUGGAGCGCCCUCGUCGAUUGCUUGGCUCUCAAGACCAAGCGAGCGUCCGACGUUCAGGUCAGCAAUUACUUCAUCCUUGUACCGUCGCUCACCUCAUUUCCAAACCUUAAUUGAAUUAGGCUCAUUUGCGGAUAGUGCAUUCUGGACUUGAAAUCGCGAUCGAUGUGGUCGGGCGUCCUUCGCGAGACGUGAAGAUUGCUGUCGUGAGAGGGCUUUUGGUGGUUUUAGGCUUCUCUUUGUUAUGUCAGGAGUAGUGUAACUGAUAAAAUGGGGCCUUGGAAGUGAGUAAGGAAUGAAGCAUUUAGUCUUCAAAAAGAAUGGAAUACCACUAAUUGCGACUCCGAGCCCGUGAUUUCGCUCUUGGAACCGUCAGAUACAAAAGGCACCCUAGUCUAGAAAUAGAUCUAAUUGUCUCAAAGAGUCGGAGAAAUACUUGUUUGAUGAUUUCAGGAACUUAACAAAGUAAAGAUGAUUGGAUUGGAUUCGAGUUAAAAUAGAGGGAGGGGAAAAGAGUGAGCAUAAGUGCGGAUUGGUGGCAGUUAAUGUCACAUCAAUCAGGCUCAUUUAGGGUGGACUGCAUAUUCUUAGAUGAUUUUUCUAUCAUUAUGGCUUGGAGACUUGCUUGUUGGUUCCUCCUUGACUCGUGAUGGUGAAUGCUGGUAUCCUUCUGCAGUUGCUUGUUUCAUUGCCAUGUUCACUAAUGCUCUUGGGUCCUCAUCCUUUAAAGAAAUUAAGCAGUACACUUAAUGAAUCAUCUUUCUAUUUUUUCUUACGUUUAAAUCCUCCUUUGUUUAACAUUCCACAGAUAGUCUAGUUAUAGCUAGAUAAGGACGUUGAAGAACUCCUCCGUCUUUCUUUUCUUUCUCCCCUGAAAGAGCUGGAAGCUGGUUGGUUUUGUGAAAGCGGUUGGAUAUAUGGCUUUAGGUUUGACGAGAAGCACUUGUAUAGUCCCCCUGAUUUAAUAAUGACUUAUAAAGAUUUAAGAAUUAGAAUGAUGCUAGAGAGGUUUGAUUCCUUUCCAUUCCAUCAUGUUCUGUUGUACACCCUUUUGAGCUAGUUUCUUUCUCCCAUUUUAACUGGUGAACUCCUGGCUUUCUUGGGUUGUUUUGGUGGAGCUUUAUCUCUGUAUGAUGGUAAAUCUUCAAUCGAGGAGCAUGACCGUAGGAUUUCCAAAUACCGGGUGUUUGCUCCCCUACUUUUAAAAAUUUGCAUUGAAGUGUGUAAAUUUUCUUUCUUCUCUGUCAUCUUUUCUACUAAAAGGAUGGCCAUUGAACCUUUAGUUGCUUAUGAAAAUGCAAAUAUCAUGUGUCACUUGGUGGACCUAGUUUUGACAGUGUGAAGAAAUCACUGCAUGCACAACUGAUACCCAGAGUUUUGCUAGAGUAAAGGAGUAGAAAUGCACUUCUUUUAGUAAAAGUUUGGUGAAUCCAUAUUCCAAAAGAGAACAGUGAAUGCUCUCUUGUCAUGUGGACUGUAAGAGGGGGAUAACCCGGCCUCCAUGGACAGGAAGUCCAUACUAUUUAUAGAGAUCUUGCCAUCUGUUCUAAUGCUUCCAUUGCCAAGAGUCGGAAUUAAAGUUUCUCCUGCAUAUUGCAGGACAAAUUUCAUUUAGCAACUCGGGAAAAACCUCCACUUAGUUAAUAUCAUCAUUUCCUGCUCCUGUGAUGCAACUAGCUAAAAACUGUUCUGCUGAAUUACACUGUCACACCUUUUCCUUGUCGUCAUGGGUUAUGGUGAAAGUUCAAUUCGAGACAAUUGGCUUGCUCCUUAUGCUGUUUAACCUAAUCAGAAAUUCACUUAUAAGAAUUUAUCUGUCUCUUUUAUGUUGAAACUAAUUGGGGAUUGGAAUAUUUCACAGGAAAUCUUGGAAACCCGCGAGAAAGCCAAGCAUCAUAUCUGGACUAUCCGGACGCCUGAGGAAGCUUCGUCUCAUUGGAAAGAGUUGUUUGCACAUCUGGAUGAGCCGGAAUGAAGAAGCCUAGUUCUGUUCGAUGUCACCUUUGUCUUCUCGAUCCUUCUCAUUCAAAUGCUGUUUGUGCAUUCAGAAUUUUCAUUUUGCGAAAUUGAAUUGAUUCAUAAUGUUGAGGGAGAAAGAGAUGCCGGCGUCAAAGAGCCAAAUGAUGGAUAGACAACUAUGAGUAUGGCCAGGGACUCCGAAAUGAUCGUGGCAGAUUGGUCUUUCACCGUAUCACUGACCAUCUAUAGAAUAAUAUCUGUGGGUGAUCGAUCAGCUUUUUUGGUGGACAAGAUAAGAGAGAGUAUAUUUGUUCCCUAAAUUUAUGCCAUUUUCGUGGAUCUUUUCAUUGCAAAUGCAUUCAAAGAAGUUGAUAGGAUAUAAUAGGACGGGAUAAUGUUGAUCGGCUAUUAGAUUAUUUUCUAAAAUUAGUAAGAAAUAUUUAUCGAUUCAAUUCCAUUUGGUCAUUUAGAUUUUUACUUGGCAGAUGAAACACAAUUCUAAUAGCCAUUGGAAUCGACUAUGGGCUUGGCGGCUCGGCUAGUUGAGUCAAGCCACACGAGCCGAACUUAUAUGUUGCAUUUGGUCAUUUGGAUGUUUAUAUCGGAUAUGAUUAGGUAGGAUAGGAUAAAGAUCGGAUAUGAUAAUGAUGGGAUUUGUAAUACCUUAUACGGUGUUUGGUCGGCGCUCGGAUAUAAUAUAAAUAUAGACUCGCUCGAAGCAAAUCUCAAUCUUUUCCUCCUCCUUUGUCCGCCUCAAGCGACCUCUAGGGUUAGCCGCCACCUCUAGCUUCGAUGGAUACGAGCUUGUAGUCGCGACCUCUACUUUUGGCUGCGGUCGAUGUUGAGCGUGAACCCCACCCUCAUAUGACCCUAGCUCUAUGGUUCCUUGAGGCCGACAACCUUGUAUAUGAGGUUGUGAGCCUCAGAGUCGAGGUCUAAAGUAUUGGAUCGCGUUGAUCCAAUGGAUUAGACGUUUCUAGAUAUAGAGAGUGUGAGACAGGGGCUUGAUGGGUAAGCAACCUUGGACGUUGAACGAUGGCGGAGCUCACGGGCUGGUUUAAUCGUAGGAGAUGAUAAGAAUGCUAUGGAUGGUAAUCGUUGCUUGAUGUGCUCUUGCUCUUUUUCUCCUAUGUCGAUUGCAAUUUCACUUAGCAUGAGCAAACACUGCCUUCUCCUCCUACAUCGGUAACUUUCUGUCCUUUUUCUUUUCUUUUCAUUAUUUAUAAUACUUAUCCUAUUCGGCUAUAUGCCCAUUGUAAGUGGGAUUUAUUUAUCCGGAUUAUUUCUGGGUUAAUAUGGAGAAGUAUGGAAGUCAAGUCACUUCAAAACGCCAAUUAUCCUAUCCGAAGUAUAUUCAGGUGGUUUGGAAUUUCUUCAUCUGGCUUGGCUUGGCUUGCCUAGCUCAGGCCGGUCAUUUUCGCAAAUACAAAUUUCAUAUAUGGAUUGAUGAGGUACAUACGAGGUAUAGAUCUAUAAGUUCCUUGUCAUCGAAUCUAAUCCCUAAUUCAUCUAAUAGCCUGACCAUUUAUCCAUCUCUUAUUCUUGGCAAGAGCCAGCAAUGGAAACUCAUGCUCUUUCUAGAAAUUGCCAUUUUAUUUAAUUUAUUUUCCUCCCCAUUUUAUUUUUCUUUUGGGUUGCUCAAUACAGUCACAUCCCAAAAAAUUUCGCCAUGAUGCUUAUCCUAUCAUUCUACAAUUGGCAAUGGAUUUCCUCAUAAAUUCCGAUGGAUUUGUUACCAUAUUCGAUAAGUUGAAUGCCGAAAAAAGCAUGACUUUGGGUUACAUUUUGGAAAGUGAUAGUAUCUAGCUAUACCUCCCAAAGAAGGUGGGGAAUUAAAUGAAAACGAGUUGGCAAUUUCUAGGGGCAUUUUGGAAAUCUAGAAUCUAUCCCUAAUUCAACUAAUAACCUCUUGUUAUUGACAAGGGACAGCAAUGGAAACUCAUGCUUUUUCUGGAAAUUGCUAACUAUUUUCAAUUACUUUCCUCCUCUCCUUUUUUUUUGGGGAUAAUUUACUAGAAAUGGUCAUUUUCCAAAAUGCAACAGGAAUUCAUGCUUCUUUCGGCAUUCACUUAACGAAUAUGGUAAUAAAUCUAUCACGGUUUAUGAUGAAAUCCAAUCCUUUUGCCAAAUGCGGAAGGAUAGGAUAAGCAUCGGGGUGAGAUUUUUUGGAAAGUGGCCGUAUUCAGUAAAAUACCCAAAAAAAUGAAAUUGGGGAGGAAGGUAAUUGACAAUAGGUAGCAAUUUUCAGGGGCAUUUUGGGGAAUCCGAAAUAUCAACGGGUGUUUUUAGCUUAAAUAAAUUAAGCCCCCGACCCGGAGCUGCAUAUGCUCAAGUCUCCAAACGGGGUUAAAGCAAAAAAACUAGUCCGUCAGCAAGAAGCAGGUGAAUUUCCUUUUUCCUUUUUCUCUUUUUCCCCCGUUUUCUUCCGUUCCUGGCGCGUUUUGCAAGCUCGCUACUCGCUCAAAAAUGCCUUCGUCUCGUGCUCCUCUCGACUCGAGCGUUGAGCGGCGGCGGCGGGGCCGUUGUCGUCGGCGCCGUCGUCGACGGGCCGAGCGCGCAUCGUACGCACACGCUCACGGAAUGUUUUGAAUCCUUGCGCGCGAGCGCUUUCCCCUUUCUUUCUCCAAGCUCCGUUAACGAACGCUCGAGAAUGUCUCGCGCUGCUUCUGCUUCCAGGGCUCGACGCGGUGUGAAGGAUUCACGUCCAUGGAAAACGGAGCUUUCGCCGAGACAGGGUUGCUGGGUUCGCUGGUCGCGCCACAGGGGAGCGCGGGGCUCGGCGCGGCGGCAGGAGGAGAUCCUGGCGGUGCCGACGGAGGGAGGCCACAGUCUGAAGCGGGUGCGCGGGGAGCGGGUGCCGGCGUCGCUGGAGCUGUGCUCAGGAGGAGGAGAGGGAGGCCGAGGCAGGACGGACUCGGCCGAGGAGCCACGCGGUCGGCAUCCUCGUCUCGUGGCCUCCCGAGGCGGGGCUCGGCGAGCCGCGGCAGGGGGAGGCGCCGAGGUCCCUCCAGUGGAGUUCUGCAUGUCCCUCCCGUGGGUGAGUGAUCGCCGACACUUGAUUCGAAAACAGUCUUCUUUUCACGCAAUUUGUGCAUGCAAAUCUGCUUACUGUAACAAUUUGAGCAUGCUUCUUUAACACUCCUGAUAUUUAGACCUCUUCUGUGAAGUUGAAGGUCCACCGCCGGAAUUUACAGGAAGUUUUGAAGCUGAGGUGGUGACCAUACAUAGAGGGGAGGUGAGAUAUGGAUGUUUCCUAGAGUGUGUUUCUUUCCUGGUACACAUUGUAAUGUGACGGAUUCCAUACUAAAAAGAUUUGCGUUGUCUAUAGGAAAUCCUCGCCAAGCUAUCAGAUUUGAUCGAACCGGGCACUCGUUCGCUCUCCAUACUUUCGGCAGCUGGUUCUGUCUCCAGUGCCGUCGUGCGCCAGCUCGGGCCUCCGGCUGGUCUUUUGACUUACGAGGUAUUGGGUCAUUCCUCAUGCUGGGUCAUGUACCAAAAUCAUGAACAUCUGCAUUCCGUAUCUUAGUUAAUGGUCGAAGGGGUGCAUCCGCAACAUGAUAUGACUCUAUAAUUUGAGUCCUGUGUACUUAUAUAGUACACUGACGAAGCCGGUGCUUUCAUCUGGUCUUCCCUCUAUUAGUUGCAAAAUAGCCGCCAUUCAUCCUAAAUGGGCAUACGUAGUACAGAAGGGCUGCAUGAACUUCCUGCUGAGGACUAUUUGUAUUGUCGGGGAAACGGCCGAUCCUCCUUGCAGUUUUCCUUCUAUGAAGCAACAGUUUAUUUAUCUCUUAAACAACUUCCGGCCCUCUUUAUGACGGUUAAUCAUAGCAUUACUUUUCAACUGGUUGCUACCUUUGGAGUUUCUUUGAACAAGAUUUUACAAUUUCAACCGCUUUUUCAGUUUUCUAGAUUGGAAUGGCAAGUUUUGAAUGUGCUCUUAGCGAUAAGAGGUGCAGAUGAGGGAAAAACUCCGAAUACUCGUUACCAGAGGCACCUUUGUAUCGAUUUUGGUUCUCUAUCGAAGUUUUUUUUCUUUUCACGCUUAAUGCUAAACCAUUACCCACCAAAUCCUAUUAUCGUACGGAUGAGGAACAUUAAAUAGUAGAAAGAGCUACUGACUGCAAGGUUUAGUUUGGCUUUUUUAUGUUCUCCUUGUUGUGCAGGGUUGUUUCGAAAUCAUGGCCCUGAACGGCUCAUUUACAAUCUGGGAAGGCAGAAUUUCUACGCGCCCUGAAGAUAGCUUGGUCAGUGUCACGCUUGCUAGGCUUGAUGGUCAGGUUUUUGGCGGUGGAGUUGGGGGUGCAUUGACAGCUGCCGGCCCUACUCAGGUAAUGUUUUUAUAUUUGUCAUGUAAAGGGAAAUUGCCAAACUUUUAUCCCAUCAGUUACACCUUGUGACCUCUGGUCCUAAAUGGUAUCUUUCUCGAAGUUGCUCAUUUUAUCAAAAGCUAGAUCAACACACUAGAGUAGAUGUAGACUCUCUGUUGUUCUAUAUUGACUGAUAUGAGUUAGAUUUACUCUUAGGGUUCAUUUGUUUAGUGACAAACUGUUUUCGGCGUUUGGAUGACUAAAAACUAAUCGAUUUAUAGAAAAUGUUUUUCAUGGACUGGAAACAACAAGCUUAGAUUGAGGGGAAAUACUAUCUUUUGUCAUGAAAUUUUCAGUGAAACAAAUGAAACUUUAGUAUAAGUUUGUUGAUACAAUCAUAACAUGCGAGUAUAAUGGGCUUCAUUUAGCGCUUAUAUAUUGGUCAAAAUAUUUUUUAGCGGUAAGAAAAUUAAAAUUUUCAUUCCAUCGCUAUUUCAUAUGAAUUUGAGACACUGGUUUGUUUAUUUCAUUAGAUCGUAGUGGGCAUUUUUAAGGAUGCUGUGCGCAAUGAGCCUACAAGAGUGGAGUCCACCAAUCCUUAUGCAAGUGCGGCUAUCGGUGUCUCUGCAAAUCCACUUCAUGAAGUGAGACAGCCUGAGCAAAUUGCAAGAACGGCAGAAGUUGAUGACAAUAAUGGCGCUCCUGCCUCUGUGAUGCUGGAGCCAACUGACAAGGAAGCAAGGACUACUGUCACUUCCGGAAACGAUGAUGUGAACCCUGCUUCUCUUUGCGUUGAUGAGCAUUAUCCCUUGGGACUGGUGGAGGGACUGGUGGAGCCAAUGUUGGAUCGGAACAUGUUUUCUACGCACACCAAUGCUGAUGUCCCUGAACUGUGAUAAUGUUGUUCUCUCAGUUUGAGUGUGCAUUUAUCUAUCGCAACUAUAUAAGUUUGAUAUCAAAAGUCUCACUUCAAAAAUUGUCUCCGGCUAGCUUGGGAAAUGCCCUUUUACCUAUUUUCCCACUAGAAUGUUUGGCAAGACCUUAAGAAAAAGUAAGAGGGUAGGCGAAAGUUGGAGUAGUGAGCUUUUGAAUAUGACUCAUCUCAUUGGAACCAAAAGAUGAGUGUUGCAAGAAGUUAGCUAGCAAGAUUCAUUCUCACCCUAAAACCGAUAUUUCAUUCUCAUGUCAGUCUAACGUGACAUCGUGACAUGCUCAUCAAGUAAAUCGAUCGAGUUUGAUUGGAAUUCAUAGCACCUUGACUAUUUUCUUGGCGAUCGCCGAUUGAUCGAGAGUAGAACUCUUGGAGGGGUCGAGAUUAAACCUUAUCAGAAUAAAGAAAUUAUACAUAUAAUUUCUUUUGGUGAUAAAAAAUUUAGUUUGGGUUAAGUUAUCACAAAUUUAUCUGUUUGAGAUUUUCCAUUGUUUUAACUGAAAAAUAUAGUAGAAGUUUUUUAAUUUUUAUUUAUGGUUGUUCGGAAAAAAUAGUUGAAUGAGACUUACGAGCCUCUUGAGUCGAGUGUUAGCGAGCUCAAGCUCGACUUGAUAAAAUAUCAAGUAGCUCAAUGAACUGAACAUCGGAUGAGUUGAUCUCUGAGUAAUUGUGGAACUAAUUUUGAAUUACUUGCUCGUAGUUUGAUUCGACUCCAUUGUUACGUUGUGUGAUAGUUCCUUCACGUGUCAAUGGCUCACGGAGGAAACAAUCAAUAACAGGGGAGAGUUCUCAAAUUCAAGCAUCAGUUUGAACAAAAAACAAACAAUUAAUUGGUUAGUUACACCAUGCCCUUGAUGUCAAAAACAAAAUCGUAUUUAUAUAUUUUCUUCUAAGGUAGCACUUGGGGUAGCAAAAAGCUGGAUAGGAAAUGGAAUCUGACUUGGCUUAACGCCCCAAUCGAAUCCCCAGGCUACGACGGGUCUUCAAGAAAACCUCCCUCACCCUUGCAUUCCACAAUUGGCACAUGCGGAACGCUGACCCAGCGAUCAGUUUCCAAGGAAGUUUAGACAUUCUCCGGGAGCUUCUGUGUUGUGUUAAACAUUCUAAUAUGUGUCUUACAUUCUCCGACAUUUGGUUUUAAUGUGUCGGAAAAUCCGGCAUUAGAUCAAUUUUUUCAAUACUCUUUAAAACGUGAGUCUGGAAUUCGGACACACGGGUUUGAAAUUUCGACACAUAAUUCCAGCAUGCAUGAGACUAAUUUAAAAUUUUUUCAAUAAAUGAGAAAUCAAAAUGUAAAUAUAUAAAAAAUAAGAAAUAAUAAAAAUAAUAAAGUGGAAAAGAAGAAAAAUCUAGUCUUCUCUCUCUGUCUUUUUUUUUUUUUUUCUAGCUCUCACUUUUCGUGAUACACGAUUUAUCUCAAGUUUGUUUUACUCCUCUUUCGACAUGCUCUCAAGCGAGUUCAGAAUGUGAAUUGUUGGUUUUUUUCCUUUAAGUUUUAUGGAUUAUUGGAAUGGAGCUGAAUUUGUCAAAUUGAAAUAACAGAUGAUAUUAUCAAAUGGUGGAUUAAUGUUGUUGCUGUAAAUUUAUAUACAUAUAAUAUAUAAUGUGUCAGAAUUUUUUAUUUUUUGAGAAAUGACAUGUUAGCGUAUUACGUCUUGUCGUGUUGUAUGUAGCGUGUGUGGACAGCUUUCAUCAAGCAACUGGUUCGCUACCAAGGCGUCGGUGGACAAAGAAGCCUACUCUCUCUCUCUCUCUCUCUCUCUCUCUCAGAGGAUCUGCUUUUUCUUUGACCUUGCGUGCCUUGAAUUUGGCCUGUGAUUCUGUCGUUCCUUUUUCAUCUCCUUUUUAUUUGCGAUUUUGUAAUUCUUGGCAAUUCUGUUGCGACAGCUCCGGUCCAUCAGAUGCAGCAAUACUAUCGACUGGGGGUUCUUGACAUUGCUUCGGCAAAUGGAGCGCCCUCGUCAAUUGGUUGGCUCUCAAGACCAAGCGAGCGUCGGAGGUUCAGGUCAGCAAUUGCUUCAUCCUUAUAUCGUCGCUCACCUCAUUUCCUAACCUUAGUUGAAUUUGACUCAUUUGCGGAUAGUGCAAUCUGGGACUUGAAAUCACGGGGGAAGUGCGUGCGCGUCCUCUGCUAAACGUGAAGAUUUCUUUCAUGAGAGGUCUUUUGGUGGUUUUGGCUUCUUUAGUUAUGUCAAGAGUAGUAUAGCUGAAAAAAUGGGCUUGGCACUGAGUAAAGGAUGAAGCAUAUAGUCUUUCAAGUUAAUACUGGCCAUCAAAGAGAAUGAUAUACCACAAAUUGCGACUCCAAAUUGCUUCAAAAAGCAAUGACAUGAUUUUGCUUUUGGAACCAAUGGAUACAAAAGUCACCCUAUUCCAGAAAUAGAUCUAAUUGUCUCAAAGAAUUGGAGAAAUACUUGUAUAACGAUCUUGGGAACUUAACAAAGUAAAGAUGAUUGGAUUGGAUUCAAGUUAAAAUAGAUGAAGGGGAAAUGAGUGAGCAUUCGUGUGGAAGGUUGACAGUUCAUGUCACAUCACUCAGGCACAUUUAGGGUGGAUUACAUAUUCUUAGAUGAUUUUUCUAUAAUUAAGGCUUUGGGAUUUGCUUGUUUGGUUUCUCCUCGACGUGUGAUGGUGAAAGCUGAUAUUCUUCCGCAAUUGCUUGUUUCAUUGCCAUUUUUACUAAUUCCUCAUCCUUUUAAAGAAAUUAAGCAUUAUCUCUAAUGGAUCAUCUUUCUAUUCUUUCUUAUGUUUAAAUCCUCCUUUGUUUGACAUUCCACCGAUAUCUUGUCAUAGCUAGAUAAGGAUGUUGAAGAAAUCCCGUGUCUUUCUUUUCUUUCUCCCCUGAAGGAGCUGGGUGGUGGUUUGUUUGGUGAAAGCGGUUGAAUAUAUAACUUAAGGUUUGACGAGAAGUACUUGUAUAGUCCCCUGCUUUGGAAAUGACUUACAAAGAUUUUAAAACUAGAAUGAUGCUCGAGAGGCUGAAUUCCUUUCCAUUCCAAAAGUUCUGUUGUACACCCUUUUCGGCUACUUUCUUUCUCCUAUUUAAUUUGGUAAAUCUUCAAUCGAGGAGCAUAACCACAGGGUUUCCAAAUACCGGCCGUCUGCUCUUCUACUUUUAAAAAUUUGCAUUGAAGCGUGUAAAUUUUCUUUCUUCUCUGUCAUCUUUUCUACUGAAAGGAUGGCCAUUGAACCUUUAGUUACCUAUGAAAAUGCAAAUAUUAUGUGUCACUGGGUGGACUUAGCUUCGACAAUGUGAAGAAAAUCACCGCAUGCACUACAGAUACCCAGAUUUUGCUAAAGGAGUAGAAAUGCACUUCUCUUUUCACGCCUUUUCCCUUUUUGGAGGAUAAAAGUUUGGCGAAUCCUCAUUCCAAAAGAGAAUGGAGUAUGCUCUUUUGUCGUUAGGACUGUAAGUGGGGGAGAACCCGGCCUCCGUAGACAGGAAGUCCAUACUGUUUAUAGAGAUCUUACCAUCUGUUCUAAUGCUUCCUUCGCGAAGAGUUGAAAUGCUCACCCUUGUGCAUUAAAGUUUCUCCUCCAUAUCGUAGGAAAAAUUUCAUUUGGCAAGUCCCGGAAAAACCUCCACUUAGUUGAUAUCGUCGUUUCCUUGCUCCUGUUAUGCAACUAGCUAAAAAUUGUUAUGCUGAAUUACACUGUCACACCUUUUUUGUUGGGAGUGCACAGCAAAAGUCUAAUACAUUCUUCUGAGAAGAUCACCGAGAGGGAGCCUAAAUACGAGACCAUCAAUAUAUUCAAUUGGAUCCAUCUUCAUUCAAAAGUUUAAGCCGAUGAGUUAUGAGCCAAACGUGAUAUAUUAAGUGUUCUACACUACAUCAAUUUUCUGAUAUAUGACUUAUUUAACACAACUCACUUAUACGUGCAUCCUAACAUUUCCUUGUUGUUGAGGGUUAUUGUGAAAGUUCAGUUUGACACAAUUGGCUUGGUCUUUAUGCUGUUGAAACUAAUCAGAAAUUCGCUUAUAAGAAUCUAUCUGCCUCUUUUAUGUUGAAACUAAUUAGGGAUCGGAAUAAUUCACAGGAAAUCCUGGAAACUCGCGAGACAGCCAAGCAUUAUAUUUGGACUUUCCGAACGCCUGAGGAAGCUUCGUCUCACUGGAAAGAGUUGUUUGCACAUCUGGAUGAGCCAUAAUGAAAGAUGCCUGGUUCUGUUUGAUGUCAUGUUCGUCUUCUCGACCCUUCUCAUUCAAAUACUGUUUGUGCAUUCGGAAUUUUCAUUUUGCGAAAUUGAAUUGAUUGAUAAUGUUGAGGGAGAAAGAGAUACCGGCGUCAAAGAGCCAAAUGAUGGAUAGACAACUAUGAGUAUGGCCAGCGACUUCGAAAUUAUCAUGGUAGAUUGGUCUUUCACCGUAUCACUGACCAUCUAUAGACUAAUAUCUGUGGGUGAUCCAUCAGCUUUUUUGGUGGACAAGACAAGAGAGAGUAUAUUUGUUCCCUAAAUUCAUGCCAUUUUCGUGGAUCUUUUCAUUGCAAAUGCAUUCGAAGAAGUUGAUA